rnacentral:lncRNA from 1 species
GCUUUGGUGUUGAAGCUUUGUAGGUGAAGCUUUGAGGUUGAAGCUUUGUUAGGUACCAUGAAUUGAUUUUGCUUCACACUAUCUUGAUCAAGAUAUUGUGAAGCUUUUGUAGGUUAAGCUUUUGUGUUGAAGCUUUGUAGGUGAAGCUUUUGUGGGUGAAACUUUUGUGGUAGGUUAAGCUUUUGUUGGUGAAGCUUUUGUGGGUGAAGCUUUUGUGGUGGGUGAAGCUUUUGGUGGUGAAGCUUUUAUGGGUGAAGCUUUUGUGGCCAAGUUUUUGUGGGUGAAGUUUUUGUGGGUGAAGCUUUUGUAGGUUAAGCUUUUGUAGGUUAAGCUUUUGUGGGUCAAGCUUUUUUGGGUUAAGCUUUUGUAGGUUAAGC